AGGAAUUAAGUUCCUUCUGACCAAAACAACAUUUUUGCUCUUUUUCUACACUUUCUUUUUCUCUCGUUUUAUGCUAUGUAUCUCUUCAUUACCUUGAAAUGGAAUUGAACAGUUUUCUCAGUUGAUGUUUUUAUCUCUUCGUUGGUUGGAGUAUUUUUGCUAUGAUGAAAAAUACAUGUGUUUGCAUAUUUGUGUUGCUUUGUGGUUGUUUUUGGAACCCUGUGUUCCAUUUUCAUCUUUGUACGGCGAUAUUAUCUCGCUCUUAUUGUUACGUGUCAUAUUGUUGGUCUCUGAUCUUCCUUUGGUUGCUUCGUGAUAUGGUUUGCAUACUUUCCAAAGAGUGUGGUAGUCGUUUUAAGUUCUCUCAUGCUUAUGUUCUUCUAUUAUAUUUGAAUCUAUUUAUUCUUGGUUCCUCAUCUCUCGUAAUUUUUUGGUGUUAUUGGGUUUCACCUUCAUAACCAAGCAUAUUAAGUUGUUUGAUUUUAUUUCUUCUAUUAUGUUUGAUUUCUUAAUGGGUUUCACUGUCUCUGUUUAUACUUUGGUUCACCUUCCUUCAUAAUAAGUUUUUCCUAUUGUUUGUGAUGGUACCUUUCUGUUUUAUGUUGCACUUUUUGGGUAUAUAGCAUAAAGUUUUAUAUGAUAACCAAGCACGAUAAGUUGUUUGAUCUUAUUUCUUCUAUUAUAUUUGAUUUCUUAGUGGGUUUCACCAUCUCUGUUUAAACUUAGGUUUUAUCUUCCUUCAUGGUAAAUUUUUCCAGUUGUUUGUGAUGAUACCUUUCUAUUUUAUGGUGCUCUUUGUGGGUAUAUAGCAUAAAUUUUUAUAUGAUUUUGAUUGGGAUUUUCUGGAAUCUAUUUUUUCAUGAUUUACUGAGUAAUAUCAAUGUUAAUUUUGGCUGAAAUUAAUUUAUUUAUAGUCUGCUAAUGUGGUAUAAAUCUGUUAUGAGAUUCGUUUGUUUUUUCUUUAAAAU
rnacentral:lncRNA from 1 species